rnacentral:rRNA from 1 species
UGGAGGAAAGCAGGGGAUCGAAAGACCUUGUGCUUUUAGAGCGGCCGAUGCCUGAUUAGCUAGUUGGUAAGGUAAAGGCUUACCAAGGCAACGAUCAGUAGCUGGUCUGAGAGGACGACCAACCACACUGGGACUGAGACACGGCCCAGACUCCUACGGGAGGCAGCAGUGGGGAAUUUUGAACAAUGGGCGCAAGCCUGAUCCAGCCAUGCCGCGUGAGUGAAGAAGGCCUUCGGGUUGUAAAGCUCUUUCGGUCGGGAAGAAAUAGUUAUGGCUAAUAUCCAUAAUGAAUGACGGUACCGACAUAAGAAGCACCGGCUAACUACGUGCCAGCAGCCGCGGUAAUACGUAGGGUGCAAGCGUUAAUCGGAAUUAUUGGGCGUAAAGGGUGCGCAGGCGGAUGUAUAAGUCAGAAGGGAAAUCCCUGGGCUUACCCUGGGAAUUGCGUUCUUUAAAGAGAAGCUAGAAGGGC